AUUGAACGCUGGCGGCAUGCCUUACACAUGCAAGUCGAACGGUAACAGGCCUUCGGGUGCUGACGAGUGGCGAACGGGUGAGUAAUGCAUCGGAACGUGCCCAAUCGUGGGGGAUAACGUAGCGAAAGUUACGCUAAUACCGCAUAAGCCCUGAGGGGGAAAGCAGGGGAUCGCAAGACCUUGCGCGAAUGGAGCGGCCGAUGUCAGAUUAGCUAGUUGGUGGGGUAAAGGCCUACCAAGGCGACGAUCUGUAGCGGGUCUGAGAGGAUGAUCCGCCACACUGGGACUGAGACACGGCCCAGACUCCUACGGGAGGCAGCAGUGGGGAAUUUUGGACAAUGGGCGCAAGCCUGAUCCAGCCAUGCCGCGUGCGGGACGAAGGCCUUCGGUUGUAAACCGCUUUCAGCCGGAAGAAUACGCCAAGGCUAAUAUCCUUGUGGAUGACGGUACCGGAAGAAGAAGCACCGGCGUAACUACGUGCCAGCAG
rnacentral:rRNA from 1 species